rnacentral:rRNA from 1 species
AAAACAAGGACGAACGCUGGCGGCGUGCUUAACACAUGCAAGUCGAACGGAUUGCGCCUGCUUUUGUGGGUGUGGUUAGUGGCGAACGGGUGAGUAACACGUGAGUAACCUGCCCCCUUCUUUGGGAUAAGCUCCUGAAAGGGUGUCUAAUACUGAUUAUUCUGCUGGUCUCGCAUGGGGCUGGUUGGAAAGCUUUUGUGGUUGGGGAUGGGCUCGCGGCUUAUCAGCUUGUUGGUGGGGUAAUGGCUUACCAAGGCUUUGACGGGUAGCCGGCCUGAGAGGGUGGUCGGUCACAUUGGGACUGAGAUACGGCCCAG